rnacentral:tRNA from 1 species
AAAAGAAUAGUUUAGUUAAAAUAUUAAAUUGUAAAUUUGAAGAGUAUUCUUUUG